rnacentral:rRNA from 1 species
GAUGAACGCUGGCGGCGUGCUUAACACAUGCAAGUCGAACGGAAAGGCCCAAGCUUGCUUGGGUACUCGAGUGGCGAACGGGUGAGUAACACGUGGGUGAUCUGCCCUGCACUUCGGGAUAAGCCUGGGAAACUGGGUCUAAUACCGGAUAGGACCACUUCUUGGAUGUUGUGGUGGAAAGUUUUUUCGGUGUGGGAUGAGCUCGCGGCCUAUCAGCUUGUUGGUGGGGUAAUGGCCUACCAAGGCGUCGACGGGUAGCCGGCCUGAGAGGGUGUACGGCCACAUUGGGACUGAGAUACGGCCCAGACUCCUACGGGAGGCAGCAGUGGGGAAUAUUGCACAAUGGGCGCAAGCCUGAUGCAGCGACGCCGCGGGGGGGAUGACGGCCUUCGGGUUGUAAACUCAUUUCGCUAGGGACGAAGCGUUUUGUGACGGUACCUGGAGAAGAAGCACCGGCUAACUACGUG